AUUGAACGCUGGCGGCAGGCCUAACACAUGCAAGUCGAACGAGCGGCGGACGGGUGAGUAAUGUCUGGGAAACUGCCUGCUGGAGGGGGAUAACUCCUGGAAACGGUAGCUAAUACCGCAUACCAUCGGAUGUGCCCAGAUGGGCUUAGCUAGUUGGUGGGGUAACGGCUCACCAGGUCGACGAUCCCUAGCUGGUCUGAGAGGAUGACCAGCCACACUGGAACUGAGACACGGUCCAGACUCCUACGGGAGGAAGCAGUGGGGAAUAUUGCACAAUGGGCGCAAGCCUGAUGCAGCCAUGCCGCGUGUAUGAAGAAGGCCUUCGGGUUGUAAAGUACUUUCAGCGGGGAGGCGUUACUCGCAGAAGAAGCGCCGGCUAACUACGUGCCAGCAGCCGCGGUAAUUC
rnacentral:rRNA from 1 species